GACGAACGCUGGCGGUGGGCUUAACACAUGCCAGUCGAACGGAAAGACCCUGCGUGCGUGGGGUUAUCGAUUGGCGAACGGGUGAGUAACACGAGAGUAACCGGCCCUUGAUUUUGGGAUAACUUCAGGAAACUGGGGCUAAGACCGGAUAGGAUCCCCUCCUGGAGGGUGGGGGGGGGAAAGUUUCGGCGGUUGGGGAUGGAUGCGCGGCUGAUCAGCUUGUUGGUGGGGUAGUGGCUUACCAAGGCUGUGACGGGUAGCCGGCCUGAGAGGGUGACCGGCCACCUUGGGACUGAGAUACGGACCAGAGUCCUACGGGAGGCAGCAGUCGCGAAUCUUGCCCAAUGGGCGGACGCCUGAUGCGGCAGCGCCGCGUGCGGGAUGACGGCCUUCGGGUUAUGAACAGCUUUCGCCUGUGACGAAGCGUGAGUGACGGUACUGAGUAAAGAAGCACCGGCUAACUACGUG
rnacentral:rRNA from 1 species